CUCUGGUAGGAAGGCAGUUCAGACUCUUCUGCAGAUUUUGAAGUGGAACUUGGUUAAGUGAAAUGUGGAAUGGUGGGGAAACUAUCCCAUGCAUAGAUCCUGAAGAAAGAUACCUUGAGUUGUUGCAUGAAAAGAAGCACAAACUCAUCUAGGUCUUUAUUUCUUUGUUCAGAAGGACUCUCUGUUCCUGUUUUCCUAGCCCUGGGGAUCACGAGGAGAUUUAAUUAUACUGGACUUUCUCUCCACUCAUCAGCAGAAAAGUGCAGAAUAAAUAGACGCACUUGAAUAGAGAUUACAGAAACUCUGAAAUAAAGCAAACACCAGCUACAGAGCAACUUCUGCCUCAAGAAACCCCUCCUUUCAGAUGUUUGCAAUUGUGAUAGCAGGUACGUCGUGUUAGG
rnacentral:lncRNA from 12 species